CCUACGGGUGGCAGCAGUGAGGAAUAUUGGUCAAUGGACGCGAGUCUGAACCAGCCAAGUAGCGUGAAGGAUGACUGCCCUAUGGGUUGUAAACUUCUUUUAUCAAGGAAUAAAGCGAGGCACGUGUGCCUUUUUGCAUGUACUUUAUGCAUAAGGAUCGGCUAACUCCGUGCCAGCAGCCGCGGUAAUUCGGAGGAUCCGAGCUUUAUCCCGAUUUAUUGGGUUUAAAGGGAGCGUAGAUGGGUUGUUAAGGCAGGUGUGAAAGUUUGCGGCUCAACCGUAAAAUCGCAAUUGAUACGGGCAGUCUUGAGUACAGUGGAGGUAGGCGGAAUGCGUGGUGUAGCGGUGAAAUGCUUAGAUAUUGCGCAGAACUCCGAUUGCGAAGGCAGCAUACCGGCGGCGAUCUGACGCUGAGGCACGAAAGCGUGGGUAUCGAACAGGAUUAGAUACCCCAGUAGUC
rnacentral:rRNA from 1 species